rnacentral:rRNA from 1 species
UACGUAGGGACCAAGCGUUGUUCGGAUUUACUGGGCGUAAAGGGCGCGUAGGCGGCGUGUUAAGUCACUUGUGAAAUCUCUAGCUUAACUUAGUAACGGUCAAGUGAUAACUGAUGUGCUAGAGCGCAGAAGGGGCAACCGGAAUUCCAGGUGUAGCGGUGAAAUGCGUAGAUAUCUGGAGGAACACCGGUGGCGAAGGCGGCAUCCUGGACCGACACUGACGCUGAGGAGCGAAAGCCAGGGGAGCAAAGCGGG